AACGCGAAGAACCUUACCUACCCUUGACAUCCUGCGAAUUCCGGAGAGAUCCGGGAGUGCCGAAAGGAACGCAGAGACAGGUGCUGCAUGGCUGUCGUCAGCUCGUGUUGUGAGAUGUUGGGUUAAGUCCCGUAACGAGCGCAACCCUUGUUCCUAGUUGCCAGCAUUCAGUUGGGGACUCUAGGAAGACUGCCGGUGAGGAACCGGAGGAAGGCGGGGACGACGUCAAGUCAUCAUGGCCUUUAUGGGUAGGGCUACACACGUGCUACAAUGGGGCGUACAGAGGGUCGCGAACCCGCGAGGGGGAGCCAAUCCCGGAAAGCGUCCCGUAGUCCGGAUUGGAGUCUGCAACUCGACUCCAUGAAGCUGGAAUCGCUAGUAAUCGCGAAUCAGCACUGUCGCGGUGAAUACGUUCCCGGGCCUUGUACACACCGAUAGC
rnacentral:rRNA from 1 species